rnacentral:rRNA from 1 species
CCGCAAGGUUAAAACUCAAAUGAAUUGACGGGGGCCCGCACAAGCGGUGGAGCAUGUGGUUUAAUUCGAUGCAACGCGAAGAACCUUACCUGGUCUUGACAUCCACAGAAGAAUCCAGAGAUGGAUUUGUGCCUUCGGGAACUGUGAGACAGGUGCUGCAUGGCUGUCGUCAGCUCGUGUUGUGAAAUGUUGGGUUAAGUCCCGCAACGAGCGCAACCCUUAUCCUUUGUUGCCAGCGAUUAGGUCGGGAACUCA